rnacentral:rRNA from 1 species
GGUUAAGCGACUAAGCGUACACGGUGGAUGCCCUGGCAGUCAGAGGCGAUGAAGGGCGUGCUAAUCUGCGAUAAGCGCCGGUAAGGUGAUAUGAACCGUUAUAACCGGCGAUACCCGAAUGGGGAAACCCAGUGUGAUUCGUCACACUAUCAUUAACUGAAUCCAUAGGUUAAUGAGGCGAACCGGGGGAACUGAAACAUCUAAGUACCCCGAGGAAAAGAAAUCAACCGAGAUUCCCCCAGUAGCGGCGAGCGAACGGGGAGGAGCCCAGAGCCUGAAUCAGCAUGUGUGUUAGUGGAAGCGUCUGGAAAGGCGCGCGAUACAGGGUGACAGCCCCGUACACAAAAGCGCAUGUGCUGUGAGCUCGAUGAGUAGGGCGGGACACGUGGUAUCCUGUCUGAAUAUGGGGGGACCAUCCUCCAAGGCUAAAUACUCCUGACUGACCGAUAGUGAACCAGUACCGUGAGGGAAAGGCGAAAAGAACCCCGGCGAGGGGAGUGAAAAAGAACCUGAAACCGUGUACGUACAAGCAGUGGGAGCCCCACCACUAAGCCAGUGGUGAACUCCACAUACGCAUCCUUUGCUGAGGAUACGGUUAACGGAGCGAAAGCGACGUUCAACCUCAAAAGAAGCAGAGGGGGCUUAGUGGUGGGGUGACUGCGUACCUUUUGUAUAAUGGGUCAGCGACUUAUAUUCUGUAGCAAGGUUAACCGAAUAGGGGAGCCGGAGGGAAACCGAGUCUUAAUUGGGCGUUAAGUUGCAGGGUAUAGACCCGAAACCCGGUGAUCUAGCCAUGGGCAGGUUGAAGGUUGGGUAACACUAACUGGAGGACCGAACCGACUAAUGUUGAAAAAUUAGCGGAUGACCUGUGGCUGGGGGUGAAAGGCCAAUCAAACCGGGAGAUAGCUGGUUCUCCCCGAAAGCUAUUUAGGUAGCGCCUCGUGAAUUCAUCUCCGGGGGUAGAGCACUGUUUCGGCUAGGGGGCCAUCCCGGCUUACCAACCCGAUGCAAACUGCGAAUACCGGAGAAUGUUAUCACGGGAGACACACGGCGGGUGCUAACGUCCGUCGUGAAGAGGGAAACAACCCAGACCGCCAGCUAAGGUCCCAAAGUCAUGGUUAAGUGGGAAACGAUGUGGGAAGGCCCAGACAGCCAGGAUGUUGGCUUAGAAGCAGCCAUCAUUUAAAGAAAGCGUAAUAGCUCACUGGUCGAGUCGGCCUGCGCGGAAGAUGUAACGGGGCUAAACCAUGCACCGAAGCUGCGGCAGCGACACUGUGUGUUGUUGGGUAGGGGAGCGUUCUGUAAGCCUGUGAAGGUGGCCUGUGAGGGUUGCUGGAGGUAUCAGAAGUGCGAAUGCUGACAUAAGUAACGAUAAAGCGGGUGAAAAGCCCGCUCGCCGGAAGACCAAGGGUUCCUGUCCAACGUUAAUCGGGGCAGGGUGAGUCGACCCCUAAGGCGAGGCCGAAAGGCGUAGUCGAUGGGAAACGGGUUAAUAUUCCCGUACUUGGUGUUACUGCGAAGGGGGGACGGAGAAGGCUAUGUUGGCCGGGCGACGGUUGUCCCGGUUUAAGCGUGUAGGCUGGUUUUCCAGGCAAAUCCGGAAAAUCAAGGCUGAGGCGUGAUGACGAGGCACUACGGUGCUGAAGCAACAAAUGCCCUGCUUCCAGGAAAAGCCUCUAAGCAUCAGGUAACAUCAAAUCGUACCCCAAACCGACACAGGUGGUCAGGUAGAGAAUACCAAGGCGCUUGAGAGAACUCGGGUGAAGGAACUAGGCAAAAUGGUGCCGUAACUUCGGGAGAAGGCACGCUGACACGUAGGUGAAGUGAUUUACUCAUGGAGCUGAAGUCAGUCGAAGAUACCAGCUGGCUGCAACUGUUUAUUAAAAACACAGCACUGUGCAAACACGAAAGUGGACGUAUACGGUGUGACGCCUGCCCGGUGCCGGAAGGUUAAUUGAUGGGGUCAGCGCAAGCGAAGCUCCUGAUCGAAGCCCCGGUAAACGGCGGCCGUAACUAUAACGGUCCUAAGGUAGCGAAAUUCCUUGUCGGGUAAGUUCCGACCUGCACGAAUGGCGUAAUGAUGGCCAGGCUGUCUCCACCCGAGACUCAGUGAAAUUGAACUCGCUGUGAAGAUGCAGUGUACCCGCGGCAAGACGGAAAGACCCCGUGAACCUUUACUAUAGCUUGACACUGAACAUUGAGCCUUGAUGUGUAGGAUAGGUGGGAGGCUUUGAAGUGUGGACGCCAGUCUGCAUGGAGCCGACCUUGAAAUACCACCCUUUAAUGUUUGAUGUUCUAACGUGGACCCGUAAUCCGGGUUGCGGACAGUGUCUGGUGGGUAGUUUGACUGGGGCGGUCUCCUCCUAAAGAGUAACGGAGGAGCACGAAGGUUGGCUAAUCCUGGUCGGACAUCAGGAGGUUAGUGCAAUGGCAUAAGCCAGCUUGACUGCGAGCGUGACGGCGCGAGCAGGUGCGAAAGCAGGUCAUAGUGAUCCGGUGGUUCUGAAUGGAAGGGCCAUCGCUCAACGGAUAAAAGGUACUCCGGGGAUAACAGGCUGAUACCGCCCAAGAGUUCAUAUCGACGGCGGUGUUUGGCACCUCGAUGUCGGCUCAUCACAUCCUGGGGCUGAAGUAGGUCCCAAGGGUAUGGCUGUUCGCCAUUUAAAGUGGUACGCGAGCUGGGUUUAGAACGUCGUGAGACAGUUCGGUCCCUAUCUGCCGUGGGCGCUGGAGAACUGAGGGGGGCUGCUCCUAGUACGAGAGGACCGGAGUGGACGCAUCACUGGUGUUCGGGUUGUCAUGCCAAUGGCACUGCCCGGUAGCUAAAUGCGGAAGAGAUAAGUGCUGAAAGCAUCUAAGCACGAAACUUGCCCCGAGAUGAGUUCUCCCUGAGACUUAGAGUCUCCUGAAGGAACGUUGAAGACGACGACGUUGAUAGGCCGGGUGUGUAAGCGCAGCGAUGCGUUGAGCUAACCGGUACUAAUGAACCGUGAGGCUUAACCUU